rnacentral:rRNA from 1 species
AUUGAACGCUGGCGGCAGGCCUAAUACAUGCAAGUCGAACGAGUGGCGGACGGGUGAGUAAUGUCUGGGAAACUGCCUGAUGGAGGGGGAUAACUACUGGAAACGGUAGCUAAUACCGCAUACCAUCAGAUGUGCCCAGAUGGGAUUAGCUUGUUGGUGGGGUAACGGCUAACCAAGGCGACGAUCCCUAGCUGGUCUGAGAGGAUGACCGGCCAACCGGGAACUGAGACACGGUCCAGACUCCUACGGGAGGCAGCAGUGGGGAAUAUUGCGCAAUGGGCGCAAGCCUGAUGCAGCAAGGCCGCGUGUGUGAAGAAGGCCUUCGGGUUGUAAAGUACUUUCAGCGGGGAGGCGUUACCCGAAGAAGAAGCACCGGCUAACUCCGUGCCAGCCGCCGCGGUAAUAC